rnacentral:rRNA from 1 species
GACGAAGGUCCCCAGCGUUACCCGGAUUUACUGGGCGUAAAGGACGAGAAGGCGGGAGCAUAAGUUUAUCCUUAAAACUGUCGAGCUCAACUCGGCAGAUGGGAUGAAUACUGUGCUCCUAGAGUCUGCCAGGGGCCAGCGGAACGGUCGGUGUAGGGGUGAAAUCCGAUGAUAUCGACCGGAACGCCAAAGGCGAAGGCAGCUGGCUAGGGCAGUACUGACGCUGAUCUCGUGAAAGCCAGGGGCGCGAACCGG